rnacentral:sRNA from 1 species
UCCACCUCCCAGAUUCCCUGGUUACUAUCUCUAAGCACUGAAGUCGGUGUUUGGAGAAAGGGACUCAGAUGACCUGUUGCAGCUAUUAAUGUCAUGUCCCCAAGUUGAAUUAAUUCAGUGUCUCACUAAAGAGUUGAAUGAGAAACAACCAUCUUUAUCUUUUGGUCUUGCUAUACUUCAUCUGUUCUCUGUAGACAUGAAAAAAGUUGGCAUUAAGCUACUUCAAGAAAUCAAUAAAGGUGGGAUAGAUGCAGUAGAAAGUCUUAUGAUAAAUGAUUCCUUUUGCUCCAUAGAAAAGUGGCAAGAAGUGGCAAAUAUAUGUUCACAGAAUGGCUUUGACAAAUUAUCUAAUGACAUCACGUCUAUUCUUCGAUCUCAGGCUGCAGUUACAGAAAUUUCUGAAGAGGAUGACGCAGUCAACCUAAUGGAACAUGUGUUUUGGUAGUUCUAUAUCUUAACCAGCUGAGGGAGCUUGUACAACACCUUAUGUAUGCUGGUUGGGCAAACUGAUUUUAACGUAACUAACUUAUAAAUAAAUCUAGAGUAAGAAGAUCUCAGAAAUAAAUCACACUUUUGUUAUGAUGACAUUUAGAUU